CAGCCGCCGCGGUAACACGUAGGUGGCAAGCGUUGUCCGGAAUUAUUGGGCGUAAAGGGCUCGCAGGCGGUUUCUUAAGUCUGAUGUGGAAGCCCCCGGCUCAACCGGGGAGGGUCAUUGGAAACUGGGAAACUUGAGUGCAGAAGAGGAGAGUGGAAUUCCACGUGUAGCGGUGAAAUGCGUAGAGAUGUGGAGGAACACCAGUGGCGAAGGCGACUCUCUGGUCUGUAACUGACGCUGAGGAGCGAAAGCGUGGGGAGCGAACAGGAUUAGAGACCCCCGUAGUCCCUGUCUCUUAUAC
rnacentral:rRNA from 1 species